CAGUAGUCACGAGUUUGAUCAUGGCUCAGAACGAACGCUGGCGGCAUGCCUAACACAUGCAAGUCGAACGAGACCUUCGGGUCUAGUGGCGCACGGGUGCGUAACGCGUGGGAACCUGCCUUUAGGUUCGGAAUAACUCAGAGAAAUUUGAGCUAAUACCGGAUAAUGUCUUCGGACCAAAGAUUUAUCGCCUUUAGAUGGGCCCGCGUUGGAUUAGCUAGUUGGUGGGGUAAAGGCCUACCAAGGCGACGAUCCAUAGCUGGUCUGAGAGGAUGAUCAGCCACACUGGGACUGAGACACGGCCCAGACUCCUACGGGAGGCAGCAGUGGGGAAUAUUGGACAAUGGGCGAAAGCCUGAUCCAGCAAUGCCGCGUGAGUGAUGAAGGCCUUAGGGUUGUAAAGCUCUUUUACCCGAGAUGAUAAUGACAGUAUCGGGAGAAUAAGCUCCGGCUAACUCCGUG
rnacentral:rRNA from 1 species